CCCUCCUUAUUAACUACACCCUAAGCGUGGGUCCGGAGAUGGUGCUCUAUUACCAUUCUGCAGAGGUGGAAUGCGUGAUUGCUGAUAUUGAAAUACCAGAAGCAACUGGCUACUGCGAUGAAGAAAACCUGUACCUAGCCAUUCCCGUUUUUGGCCUGCACCAGUACUGGAACCUGUAUCUUGGUGCCAAGCUUUUGAACCGGCACACAGCGCUCACAAAUGGGUACCUUGCAGCUAGCAACUCUACCCACCUGGUCCUGCAAAUACCUCUCUUUGCUGUGGGAGUUACCUAUGAGGUACAUGAACUGCAUAACAGCCUUCUUUGAAGCACAUAGGACUAUGCUCAUAAAGGCACAGCCCUGCAGUCAGUUUGUAGUGCUGCAGUAUUAUGUGUGCUGGAAAACCUCUAGAGGGAAUGACUCUAAGCCAGUGCAAGAAGGACAAGACGUAACAGACACAGACCCUUCUGGUAAUGUCAUAUAUUAUGUAAUCUGCAGUGCUGAGUUGUCUCUAAAAGAUACGCACCAAGUCUUCAACAACAAAUUCCUCUGUAUUUUUAGUAAGAUGAGGCAAAAUGUCCCAAACCGAGCCAGAAACAGUAUUUCAAUAUAGCUUUUAUGAAAGAAACUCUUUUAAAGGAACAUUUUGUAGAAAUGUUAAAUUACAGCAGGGAAAAUUGAUGUGGUAAUAAAUAUCUGAAGCAUUCUACAAUAAUCAGCCAGAAUUUAUCUCUCUGUGACAGUAACAAAUUAAUUUGUACCAGAAAACUCCUGUUCCUGUGCUGCAUGAGGUUUGAGUCGUUACAUUGACUUAACUCUCGUGACUUGUUGGUGUUCAAGUAGCACAAGCUGAAGAGCAGAAUUUUGUACGUAUUGAUCAUGUGCCUUAACAGGAGAUCUCUUCCAACCCCUCCUUCACAGGAAGUGUCCUUUCAGAAAAUUAAAGCAAGGUUCGAUGUUGCCCUAAAGAAAGUGAGAACUAUGGAGACCUUGCAGAUAUUCUCCGUUAGCUGCAAUUUUAAUUCCUCGGCAUUUAUAAGUAAGUUGUACAAAGGAUCAAUCAACAAAAAGAUCUGUAAGUCUUCCCAUGAGUUUAUAACCAACUCUCUGAUUUCCUCAGUAUGCCACCCAGAUGGUACUAUAAUGAUAUCUGCCCAAAUGAAGACAGUUCCUGCCAUUGAUAUGAGUAAAACCAAACUAAGGGAUAGCUCAUGCAAGCCUAAAGAGUAUAACAAAGGACAUGCCUUCUUCAUGUUCCAUGUCACCACCUGUGGCACUUCAGUAAGGGUAAGCCCACGGCCAGAGCAAAUACAUCUGCUGGAAGUCUCUGUCUCUCCUGCAUUUCCUCUUUCGUUGCCCUGCCCCAGCUCCUGAGAAGAUUCAGUUUUUAAUGAGCUUCCCAUAUGCACAGUUUGAAGGUGAUCACAUUGUUUACGAAAAUGAAAUCUCUUAUGAGAAAGAGACUCUUCCAGGCCAGAGCCAACCGAAAAUCACAAGAGAUCCAGACUACAGGUAGGAUCAGCUACUGCUCACUGACAACGCUCACUUUGGUGCUUUGGUGCUUGAAGGUGAACACAAAAAUUACCCUUUUUCCUAUUAUAGAUUAACAGUCUCGUGCUACUACCGAGCAAAAGAGACAGUGAUGCUAGGUGCCUUCAUUAGUGAGCCAUCCACAUCGCGUCCCUUUGGCUCCGGUACAAUGGUGCCAAGAUCAAAUACUGCAGUAUACAGAAGGAUAAGAAAAGCCCUGAAUGUAGUUUCAAGAGUGUCCAAAAAUGAAGCUUUCAUGGAUUUCUAUGAGCCCAACGAGGCAAUACUCAAGCGACCCAUGGAGUCUGUGUUUCUCGAGGUGGAGCUGAAAGAUGAGAGACCUGACGCUGAGUUAUACCUGGAUAACUGCUGGGUGACAGGGUCUCUGGACUUCAACAGCACCCCAAGAUGGAACAUCACCGUGGAUGGGCAAGUAGUUAUUGAACAACCAAUACGUUUAUCAGAGAAACACUGAUUUCUUCUAGAACUUUUGGUCUGUUCUCUCAAAUAGGUGUAAGAUUAACAGCAGUGAGUAUGUUGCGGAGUUCUGCUCCGUAGCUGCUAGCCCCAGAGUGAGACAUCCUUCUCAUUUUAAAAGGCUAGCAGUGAGGACCCUGACACAUCAACUGGAACUGGUGUAUGUGCACUGUUUGGUGGCAGUCUGCUCUCCUGGCAGCCCCUGCAGAGGACAGUGCAGCCCAAGCAAGGAGAGGAAUGGUCACCGUUCAGCCAGCCUCCGGGGUUACGUACUUGCUGGACCAGUCCAGAUUGUCGAUCCAGAUCUAAGAUGAAGCACAUAAACUGAAUUUGGUAAGAACUCCAGGCACCGUGAAUUCACCUAGACAGGUCACCAUGCUUUGUGGCACAACCGAUACAUAGCCUGUCCUUUGAGACCUUAGGUUCUGGGACAGUCUCCAUUUUGAUCUCCUAUCUUCUCCAUUUUGAUCUCUUAUCUUUUCAAAAGCAUUUCGGGGCAGAGGCAAGAACUAGGGAACAGGCAGGGUUUGCAGUCUCCUGGUCUAAGCUUGACCCCUAGGAGAGGAAAGGAGUAGAGCAACCUGCCAGGUCAAACACAGGUGGUAUGGCUCUGGAGAAGGUGCCAGCAGUGGAGCAGUGCAAGCUGGAGUCGGGCUAUAGAAGGCAGUCUUGGAAAUUUGGAAGAUGUUAUUUCAUCGGGUUUUCAACUGGACUGCCCCCAGCAGUCAUCACGAUUCAGCUGAAAGAAAAUGGAUCCAAAAGUUUAGAAACAAACACAAAUUGCUGUCAUAUCCCAAAUUCUUUCCAAGGGUCCAAAUCCCCCAGCCUGUUAGGGUUUACCCUAUAGCUUCAUCAGUCUUUUGAGGACCAGAGCUAUUCAGCUGUGUACUCCAGCCUCACUCCUCUCUUCACCAUCUGUGUCCCCAACAGCACCUGAAGGCUCUGCUGUGCUGGCUGCUUUAUAAAUGUGCAGCUAGACAUGGGAAUUACCUCUUACAGUGAUCACUAGGAUUAUCUUGCUUGA